rnacentral:rRNA from 1 species
AGUUGUAGAAUCACUGGUGAAUAAGGGGUGGGCAAGUUCUGGUGUCAGCCGCCGCGGUAAAACCAGCACCUCGAGUGGUCAGGAGGUUUAUUGGGCCUAAAGCAUCCGUAGCCGGUUGCAUAAGUUUUCGGUUAAAUCUAUGCGCUUAACGUAUAGGCCGCCGAAAAUACUGUGCAGCUAGGGAGUGGGAGAGGUACACGGUACUCGAUAGGAAGGGGUAAAAUCCUUUGAUCUAUUGAUGACCACCUGUGGCGAAGGCGGUGUACCAGAACACGUUCGACGGUGAGGGAUGAAAGCUGGGGGAGCAAACCGGAUUAGAUACCCGGGUAGUCCCAGCUGUAAACGAUGCAGACUCGGUGAUGCAUUAGCUUGUGGCCAAUGCAGUGCCGCAGGGAAGCCGUUAAGUCUGCCGCCUGGGAAGUACGUACGCAAGUAUGAAACUUAAAGGAAUUGGCGGGGGAGCACCACAAGGGGUGAAGCCUGCGGUUCAAUUGGAGUCAACGCCAGAAAUCUUACCUGGGGAGACAGCAGAAUGAAGGUCAAGCUGAAGACUUUACCAGACACGCUGAGAGGUGGUGCAUGGCCGUCGCCAGCUCGUGCCGUGAGAUGUCCUGUUAAGUCAGGUAACGAGCGAGACCCCUGCGUCUAGUUGCUACCAUUACUCUCUGGAGCAGUGGAGCGAAUUAGACGGACCGCCACAGUUAAUGUGGAGGAAGGAAGGGGCCACGGCAGGUCAGUAUGCCCCGAAACCCUAGGGCUACACGCGGGCUGCAAUGGUAUUGACAUGUGUUCCGAAUCCGAAAGGAGGAGGCAAUCAUCAAACAAUAUCUCAGUUAUGACUGAGGGC